AGUGUUGUGUGUAGGUUCUCCGUGGCGGACACGGGUACGAGUGGGCCCCGCUUUCGGCGCUGGUACCAGGAGCUCUGAGAGGAACGUGGGCGAGCUCGGAAGCUGCGCCAUGGAUCUCGGGUUUCCCAAGUUGGCCUCAAACUUUCUCUUAGCUGAGGAGGACCUUGAACUUCUGAUCCCGCUACCCAAACCCACCUCCAGAGUGCUGGGAUUAAGGGUGUGUGACUAUAAGCCCCUUUGUGUGUGUGUGUGUGUGUGUGUGUGUGUGUGUGUGUGUGUGUUUCUGGGGAAGGAACCUAGGGCUUCGUGGUAGUAGUCAAACAUUCGAUCCGAUUCUGAGUAUAUCUUACAAGAUAAUGUUUAGAUCAACUUUCUGUUAUUUUUAGCAUAAAUUGUGAGGAUUUGAUGUGUUGAAUUUGUAGAUCAAAAUGACAACUGUCAUAAUUUUGAGGCUUCUUCCCAAAACCAUGGAAAUCUCUCCACUUACUAAGGUCUUUGAUUGUUUUUAUAUUAGAAAUGUAUGAUUUUUGUGUACAGAUGUUAAUUACAUUAAUAUGCAAAUAUGUCUCACUUUAUCCUUGCUAUAUAAGCUGUGUGGUGGUUUUAAUUUUCCAUCCAAAUGCCAAUGUACAUAC
rnacentral:lncRNA from 1 species